GCCAGGCCCCGACCCCCGGCCUGAGCCCCGCGGGCUGCCGCGGGGGUCCGCGGCCGGACGGCGGGGCGGAGUCCGCCACUCAAUCCCGCUCGGCUUAGCGACCUCCAGCCCCACAGGCCCCGCGGCGCGACCACCCGCCGCGCCCCUCCCUCCAGAGGCGCCGCUCACCGCGUCCCCGGCGACCCGCGUCCGCUCCCGCCCCGCCACUGGCGGCUUCCGCGGAGCGCGCCGGGCCGGUUGUCUCUCUGGUUACGGUAAAGGAAGCCGCCUGGGGCUGGCGGGAGGCUCUGUUCUCGGAGUAGCCGGGCCUAGGAAGAGCACGUUUUAAAGCUGUUGCUCCAGGUUGUUCGGGAACGAUGCUAAUACUAUUGAGGGAAAGUGACUCCACCCGCCCCCAGUAGCUUGAGUUCUGUCUCCAGGUUAAGCAAACAGCCAAUGCAGGCGUGACUCACCAGGCCUCUUAGGAAUCUGGGCAAAAGAAAAAAGGUCAGAGUUCAGCCCUCCGAAUCAUAUGGGGACAUGAUUUAACAGUGAUGUUUUUAUAUUAUGAAGAAGAAAGCAAGUUCUCGGAGUACAGCCGGCACAGUGCUACAUUAGGGCGGCAAACAAAAGCAUCAGUUUCACUUCCCAACUCUGUUAACUGUUCCAAUGAAGACACACAAGGAUAAUGGUCUU